GACGAACGCUGGCGGCGCGCUUAACACAUGCGAGUCGAGCGAGAACCCAGGCUUCGGCCUGGGGGAAAGCGGCGAACGGGUGAGUGUCACGUGGGUAACCUGCCCUCGGCCUCGGGAUAGCCCGGGGAAACCCGGAUUAAUACCGAAUGGCCCAUCCGCUCUUCGGAAUGGCCGGAAAAGGUAUCUUCGGCCUCCGGCCGAGGAGGAGCGCGCGGCGGCUUAGCUUGUUGGUGGGGUAACGGCUCACCAAGGCGACGAUCCGUAGCUGGUCUGAGAGGACGAGCAGCCACACUGGGACUGAGACACGGCCCAGACUCCUACGGGAGGCAGCAGUAGGGAAUCUUCGGCAAUGGGCGAAAGCCUGACCGAGCAACGCCGCGUGAGCGAUGAAGGCCUUCGGGUCGUAAAGCUCUGUUGUCAGGGAAGAACAAGUACCGGAGUAACUGCCGGUGCCUUGACGGUACCUGACCAGAAAGCCACGGCUAACUACGUGCCAGCCGCCGCGGUAACAC
rnacentral:rRNA from 1 species